CUAGAAGACUUCAUGGGUGUGACCAUCUGGGGCAUCAGAACUAUCUUUUCCACUUUGAAGUAAAGGAUGACGAACAUGAUCACUUUAAGGUGGAUAAUAAUGAAAAUGAGCAUCAAUUACCAUUAGGAGCAGUCAUUUUAGGAACUGGAGAAAUAAAUUACAAAGGCUGUCCAAUUAAAGUAACACUGGCAACUGUGAAAACAUCUAUACAACCAGCAGUUUCCCUUGGGGACUUUAAAAUGUCAUCCCCUGAGGUGUUUAGGUUGAAGCGUGGGUUGCCACCUAUGCACCUAGUAGCUGUAGAAUCCUGGGCAGGAAAUGGUAAGAAGAUUCCACAGAAAGAGUAAGACUUGCUGCUCAAGCUGCUGCAGCUGCUGGGUGACGAAGAAGCAGAAAAAAACAUUUCAGCGAGGAAACCUAUCUAAGAUACUCAUGCCAAGCGUGCACAAACAUCCAACCAGAACAGACAACACUCAAAACCAUCAACAUCAAGGUCAAUAGGUUAGGAGCCUUUAAAAGAUAGAGGAAAAAACAAAACAAAAACCAAAAUAUCACAAAACAACUGAAGGCCUCAGAGGACAUUAAGGCAAAAUGCAGACAAGGUUUUCUUUCCAGAGUGGUUGCCAAGUCCGUCCAUCCUGAAGAAUGGCUUCCAGAUGACAGAUGAUGCGGCUACUUAAGAUCUAGCAGUGGAGGUAGUCUCUUUAAGAAAAUGGUUUGAACAGAUUGAAGUAUUCCAUCUGACUUUAUUUAUUAUAA
rnacentral:lncRNA from 1 species